rnacentral:lncRNA from 1 species
GGAGCUGCUCCGCCGCUGCCAACUCCGCGGCGGUGAAGGGACCUCCGGCCGACCGCGAAGGGCUUCGCGCUCCAAGCGGAAGCAGCGGCGGGGGAUCGGAUCGGGUAAGGGUUCUUCCCAUCGUCCUCGAGCAAUUCUCGCGUUCGCUUCUUUUUCGUGUGGGUGUUGGUUUUUGGGCGAGCAAGAGCUUCGCGGUACGGUGUCUCGCGGAUAAUUUCUACGGUCGGUGGUCCUCAAUGACCGUUGGGAUGGAGUUCUCUCGUUAACAAUACUAAUUUCUAGAGACCACUCGAGAAAGCUUCUUGAACGUGCCUAGCACGUGAGUGUGAGAACCACUUACUGCAUAAACAAACAGCCAAUCUGAUAGCUUGGACUACUCGAUCAGUCAGAAAUUUGGAGCAUUUCAUGUAUUGUGUUAAAAUAUUGAGGUUCUAAUACCAAAAUAUAAGACAGGAAGAGAAGAGGAUUUCAUCAAAUAAAUAAGGAGUUGAGGUAGUGAUAUGACACCAAAACAUAGCUUGUGGUAUUAAAUAUAUUAGGGUUGAAAUAGUACAUAGAUAAAUGCCAGUAAAUUCAUUAGGUCUUUAUCGUAAAAAUUAUGAAUUACUAGUAUGAAAGAAUGAUUGGUCUCACUAAAACAACAAAGAUUUGAGGAACCAAUGUAUUAAAAAUAAUUAUUACGUAAAUUAAAGAGAAAAGUGGAGAGACGAGGGAUUAUAUAUACAUAUAUGUAUACAUAUAUAUAUAUGUAUAUAUAUGUAUACAUGUAUAUAUAUGUAUAUAUAUGUAUACAUGUAUAUAUAUGUAUAUACAUGUAUACAUAUAUGUAUACAUAUAUAGAUAUACAUAUAUGUAUACAUGUAUGUAUAUGUAUAUAUAUGUAUACAUGUAUACAUAUAUAUGUAUACAUGUAUACAUAUAUAUGUAUACAUGUAUAUAUAUAUGGUCAAUUUUAGCUCUUAUGUUUUUUUGUCAUAGUCCCCUUAAACAUUUAUAGUUUAUUCAUGUCUAAAAUAAUCCAUAUAUUUUUAAAAAUAUGGUAUAUAAGUCUCUCCCGUCAAGUUUGAGUUAACAGACAUCUAAGUAUGCUUACAUGACAUGUUGAUUCAUAAUAAACCAUUAAUAUAAUGACACGUGUAAUUUAUGGUUAAGGUCUAUUUUAGCUAUUGUGGUUUUGAUCGUGGACCUCUUAAGCCCUUAUGAUUUACUCGUGUAUAAAAUAACUCUCGCAUUUUAAAAUACGUAACAUAUAAGACUCUCCCAUUAAGUCUGAGUUAACAGACGUUAGAGUCUACUUACGUGAUAUAUUGAUUCACAACAUUAAUAUAAUGAUAUAUGUAAUUUAAGUUUAAAAAAAAAACUGAUGCCUCCAUCAAUGGUGGGAAGAUGCAUCGUUGUGGAAGCGACCACCAGCAACAGUAUCGAGCUGCUAUUGCUUAGCAUGGCGUUGUAUGCACGCAGCUUCUCUUGCGCUAACAACAAACUCAGGAGCUUUCGGAUGUUACUAGCAAACAAUAGGGCGCAUGCCACUAUGGCGCUACUCACCACCACGAAUGACACCUGCUUUGAUCCCGACAAGUACCACCAUACCUUGUAAGCCACCUCCCCCACGAAGCAUGACAUCACAAAGAUAGAGAGCAGGCAGAAGGAGUAGUUGAGCUAGUCCAUGUAGCCCUCCUGCACCUACUCACUCUCUCCCCAACCAGCUUGUUAAGGAAGAGGAAGUUGCGGAGGCCGUAGCGAUAGACGAAGGCGGAGAGGCAAAGGUAGGAGAGCUCGAAGGUGAAGGUGAGGGAGAGUUGGACCACCACAUCAUAGGCGUGACGAGUGGGGGUGCAAGAGAGGAUGAAGUGGGAGGCGAUGGAGACAAAGACGCCAUCUAGUGUCAAAUUAGUCGACACACAUCCACCUGAGGUAGGAUCGGAAGCUCUUGAGCUCGUCAUCAAUGCGAGAGAGGCUGCAUGCGUAUGACACCAUACUAGGCAAUAACAACUUGAUGCUGUUGUUGGUGGUUGCUUCUACAACAACGCCUCCCGCCAUUGAUGGAGGUCUAAGUUUUUUUUAAUACUUAAAUUACACGUGUUAUUAUAUUAAUAGUUUAUUGUGAGUCAACAUACCACGUAUAUGUUAACUCAAACUUGACGGAAGGGGUUUAUAUGCUACGUUUUUUUAAAAUAUAAGGGUUAUUUUAGACACGAGUAAAUCAUAAGGGCAUAAGAAAUAUAUGACUAAAACCAUAUGGGCUAAAAUGAAUCUUAACCCUAAAUUAUACAUGUCAUAUUGAUAAUUUAUUAUGAGUUUACAUGUCACGUAAGGAGACUCUAACGUUUGUUAAUUACAAAAGAAACUUAUAUACUAUAUUUUUGAAAAUAUAUGAGUCAUUUUAUAUACGAGUAAACCAUAAGGGUUUAAGAGGCCCAUAAUCAAGACUACAUAAGCUAAAAUGAAUAUAUAUAUAUAUAUAUAUAUAUAUAUAUAUAUAAAAUUACAAAGUAACUUUUUUUUAUUUAUGUUGUUACGAAGAACAACAUAACUAAGUUCAUCCCAUACGUUGUUGUGCAUCUUAGGAACAAAAUUGAGUCAAAACAAAAGCUUAAUCUUCAUCAUCUUCCACGAAGAAGGUGGAGGUCAAAGCCAAGUUGGUGGUGGCGGUGGGGGAUGGCGACAUCUGCUAUCGCUGCCAUGGCGGUGGCCGUGCUGCUGCUGCAGCUGAUGGUGGUACUGUUCACCCCCAUCCGCUGUCACUUGUGCAGUCUAGAUCUGCAAUUGGCCCUCCUCGCGGCCUCGCGCCGUUUCGAGCAACAUGUCCCUCACCUCUUCUGCUCGCACCACCAAGUUAUUAUUCCCUUUCUGUACAAGUUGAGAGGUGUGUUUAGAUCUCGCCAAGGAUUUAAGCAUAGUGUUAUGGAUCUUCUUAUCAUGAAAUGCUUGGUUGCUACCUCAACUCUGAAGACGUUGAGUACCACUGUUCUCGAUGUGGUGACACUGGCAUUGGUUACUUCCAGGCUUAGUGCGUUCAUGGCCUCCAUCAACCUUGCAAACCCUCCUUGCCUGUGCUCACACAGCACCAUCAAAAAGAGCUCGUUGGCUGUCAGCUGCUUCACCUCCACCUGAGGCUGCUCAAAUCAACA